rnacentral:pre_miRNA from 1 species
GUACAUCAUUGUGGUACUUCUGUGUGUACAUCAUUAAGUUGUGGUACUUAACUUAAUGAUGUACACACAGAAGUACCACAACUUAAUGAUGUAUACACAGAAGUACCACAACUUAAUGAU